UACGAAGGGGGCUAGCGUUGCUCGGAAUUAUUUGGCGUAAAGCGCGCGCAGGCGGUCCUUUAAGUCUGAUGUGAAAGCCCACGGCUCAACCGUGGAGGGUCAUUGGAAACUGGAGGACUUGAGUACAGAAGAGGAAAGCGGAAUUCCACGUGUAGCGGUGAAAUGCGUAGAGAUGUGGAGGAACACCAGUGGCGAAGGCGGCUUUCUGGUCUGUAACUGACGCUGAGGCGCGAAAGCGUGGGGAGCAAACAGG
rnacentral:rRNA from 1 species